rnacentral:rRNA from 1 species
GACGAACGCUGGCGGCGUGCUUAACACAUGCAAGUCGAACGGAAAGGCCCUGCUUUUGUGGGGUGCUCGAGUGGCGAACGGGUGAGUAACACGUGAGUAACCUGCCCUUGACUUUGGGAUAACUUCAGGAAACUGGGGCUAAUACCGGAUAGGAGCUCCUGCUGCAUGGUGGGGGUUGGAAAGUUUCGGCGGUUGGGGAUGGACUCGCGGCUUAUCAGCUUGUUGGUGGGGUAGUGGCUUACCAAGGCUUUGACGGGUAGCCGGCCUGAGAGGGUGACCGGCCACAUGGGGACUGAGAUACGGCCCAGACUCCUACGGGAGGCAGCAGUGGGGAAUAUUGCACAAUGGGCGGAAGCCUGAUGCAGCAACGCCGCGUGCGGGAUGACGGCCUUCGGGUUGUAAACCGCUUUCGCCUGUGACGAAGCGUGAGUGACGGUAAUGGGUAAAGAAGCACAGGCUAACUACGU